UAGAUGUGGAUGCCGAACCAGUUAACGGGAAGCGCAGCUCUCCGACUAUAUCUCAGCAAUCGAUGGGGAAGGUGAAUCCAGAGACUCCUGGAUGGACAAAAAGGGGAAGCAGGGUUAGAGAAUACACAGUCAUGCCGUUGUGAAUGCCCUGCACUGACCCAGUUGCUUAGGUCAGAGGACAAUGGUUUGUAAAUGUCUAAGCACAAGGAGAAAUACAAUCAUUCACUCUCUCCAAAUUGGCGGUUAACCGUUCACUGGCCGUCCCAAACACAUAGAUGUUUACAACAUAAUUAGGAGAUUUUUUGGUUAAAUAGAAAAGUCCCCUUCACUAAGCGAUCACUGAGAGCAUUGUGCAGGAACUUGGGUUGUGACCAAGCGGAUGAUGAUGUGAGGAAAACGAUGGAAUUAUUUAAGGAGUUGGGUGCCAACAAUCUGUGGUUCACAUAUCGAGUUCAAGCAGAUUUGGAGGGCCGAAUAAAAUGUUUGAUGUGGAUGAAUGGUAGCAGCCAUUUGCGACUACAGGCGUCUGCGUGGUUUACAGGCGAGAUGAACCCUAGAGCUCUUGGCUGGACACAACAGGUAACGAUUGGUGUGGCUGCGUAAAGGAGGACACCUUGUCCUAAUCGUCCAAGUUCGUUGGAGAAAGCAAUUCGUUGGUUCGCUGAGAAUCCAGGGAAAAAUGUGAUUGUACUGAAACUGGGUAUAAGAUUUGAUCUUUAGGUGAAGCAUACAACUUGUACUCCUGCGGGAAGGGGUUUGGUAUUACAUAUUGGAAAAGCAGACUAAAUGUUUAGAGGACAAAAUGCAGGCAGGAAAUCAUUUGCAGCUGUGCGGGAAGGCUGGCGUUGAGAACAGUCGGUCAUGCCAUUGUGAGUGUUGGGCUCUUAUACGAUUGUUGCGAUCGAAAGGCAAUGGUUGGUGCAUAUCAGAGCAUCGGGAGCAACACAUCCAAUCUUUGUCUCCUAAUUGCGGAGAGACAAUACACUGCCUUCACACAAACACAUCGACGUUUACAACCGGGACUGGUGAAGCAGCUACGGCAAAAUAACGUCAAUCUAGCCAAGGUAUACAACAUCAUAGAGAGUUUUUUCACCAAGCGAGCUCUCCAUAAUUUGUGUGGGGAAAUAAACCAUGAGCAGGCAUAGGACGAUGUGAGCAAAACUAUGUAGGUUUUCACUGAACUGGGUGCAAAGGAUCGACAUUUCACGUAUCUUGUGCAGGCUGAUAAGGAAGGGUGAAUCAGUAAAAUUUGGGUGAAUGGGAGCAGUAGAUUGCAGUAAAAUUUUGAGGAUAACACAAAAAAAUCAAAAUUUUAACAACAAGGGCAGGAGGUUUGCCCAAGCUGUGUAGUGUAUAAGCAGGGGGGUGAGGGGUAGGUGAGGGGCACACUCUGAUUUCAGUCAUCCACGUGAAGCUGUAGUUGGAAUAAGAUCAAGUUUCAGUGGGAGGUGAAAUAGAGUGAAUGGCUCUGACCGACUUAUCUAGCGCCUCCUCUGUGGCUACGGGUUUCAAAAUAUACUGAACUGAUUAUAGAUGAUUCUGAUUAACAGCUGUAAGUUUAGAGCAUUAGCUCAGUUCCUGUGUAUUGUGUUGAUAUUUUGUAACCUGAAUGUGAUGUGACGGUGUUGGAAGCGGAUGUAUCAGAAUCAUCUUUGAACCGGCGUGGCAGUCAGUGCAGUUUCAGGUGUCUCCGAUGGGUCAUUGCAGGUACUAUGCCUGGCUUUAGGUGCAACUGUGUGUAAUGUACAAUAAUAUAUUAUAAUGUAAUAAAUCGUCAUGUGUGAACGAACGCCUUUGGAACAGAAUCAUAGCUUUAACAGCGCACAUCGUGAGCGAAAAUCGGAGCCGGCCUAUCCCAUAGAUAACGGCGUCGACUUUAAUAGUUGUCAGAGUGGGCCAGAUGUGGGCCAUCGGCUCUUAAAAAAAGUCGGUAUACAAAAGUUAUACCUGGGCCUAUACAUGUCGGGGUGGUAAUCUCGAAGGGGCUGAACGGGAGCGAUAACGAGAGCAUGUGUGCGCGAGCGCAGAAGAGGACUUUCGUACUGUCCGUUUGAUCUCCUUAUUAGUUAAUAUCAGCCGUGAGAUGUACUACACAGUCCUUGCGUGAUAUCCCACAUAUACCUCCUUAAAGGAAUAUUUUAGUUUAGCCUUACGGUCUUAAUUGUAGAGCUACGAUCUAAUAAGGAUGGCAGCAUUUUUUCCUAAAAAAAAUGGAAGAAAUUUGUUGCGUGGACGUGAGAGUCCUAAUAGAUUACAAUUGGUAGUUAUCCUAAAAAAUCAGAUUACAAUAGGCAUUUGGGUGCAACACGUAUUGCUCUCCUUCCUAACUCUCUUCCCAUAAACCUUACAUACAACUGAAAAGAAAAAAAACAUCUCUGAUUCUUACGUCCUCCACAAGUCCUCUUUCCUAUUCAAUUCGUCCCACCUCCCAUGCGUGGACAAAUAGAGAAAUUAUCUCAAUGUAUGCCGUCAGCUAGAUCUUAUUGGGAAAACUCCAUCCGGUAGGCAUAUUUCUAACCCAACUCCCAUU